UACGUAGGGUGCAAGCGUUAAUCGGAAUUACUGGGCGUAAAGCGUGCGCAGGCGGUUAUGUAAGUCAGAUGUGAAAUCCCCGGGCUCAACCUGGGAAUGGCAUUUGAGACUGCAUGGCUAGAGUGUGUCAGAGGGGGGUAGAAUUCCACGUGUAGCAGUGAAAUGCGUAGAGAUGUGGAGGAAUACCGAUGGCGAAGGCAGCCCCCUGGGAUAACACUGACGCUCAUGCACGAAAGCGUGGGGAGCAAACAGGA
rnacentral:rRNA from 1 species